AAAUUUGCCGUGAGAAAAAAAGUAGUUCUGAGAAGAUAUUUUUGCCAAGAGAAGGAAAGGCUCUCUACGCGAGGUUUGUCUGGUUCUGCUUCAUUCAUAAUAAGGUGAAAUGGACGGAGAAGACAGGGAAAGUCCAUCUGAUGUGGCGUCAGACAGCUGUGGCCACCUGGAUGAAGGUUCAGACCAGGAACCUGCUCUUCCUCCUGAUUUGGAGUGGCUAGAAGAAUUGUCUGAAGAGGACAACGGUGAUGGUGACCUUGUGGUUGUGGGCGAUUAUGGUAAGAAGAGGAGU